UCAAGAAAGAGUGUUAUGAUGGGCCGAAGCUCAAAGUCGGAAAUUUAAAGUUUAAUAGACGGCUAAUCCCCGGGUCGAUUCCAACCGAGGACGGCGGUAAGAAGACAGAAGAGGAACCGUCCGCUCGUGAGCAAAGACACAAGCGCAGAUCAGUCCUAACUGACCACUUUGGCCCAGUUCCACAUAAAA